rnacentral:tRNA from 2 species
GCGGGCGUGGUUCAAUGGUAGAACACUAGCUUCCCAAGCUAGUAACGGCGGUUCGAUUCCGCUCGCCCGCUCCA